rnacentral:rRNA from 1 species
UACGUAGGGGGCAAGCGUUGUCCGGAAUCAUUGGGCGUAAAGAGCGUGUAGGCGGCCAGAUAAGUCCGCUGUGAAAUCUCGAGGCUCAACUUCGAGCUGUCGGUGGAAACUGUCUGGCUAGAGUCCGGAAGAGGAGAAUGGAAUUCCUGGUGUAGCGGUGAAAUGCGCAGAUAUCAGGAAGAAUACCCGUGGCGAAGGCGGUUCUCUGGGACGGUACUGACGCUGAGACGCGAAAGCGUGGGGAGCGAACAGG